UAAAUUGCAAAAUUUCCACAUUUUGCACCAAGUGUCCUUCGGCUUGCUCAGGAGUUAAGGAUCGUGAAGAUCUACCCGCACUAUCAUACUUUAGGGUAUUUGAACUAAACGUUUUGAAUUAUGGCAUGUAUAGUAGGCUUAAUUAUUUUGUUACGUGUCAUAUUUGUCUAGGUUUAAAAUAUUAGUUACUGAUUUUCGACCAGCUACUUUGUACAAGCCAUUAAAGUUGGCUAAUAUUGUUCAAGACAUAUAUUAUACGAUGCACUAUCAAAUUGGAUGACAAA